GGUGGGUGGGAAAGUGUGGGUAAUAGUUCCAUGGGCUUGAUACUGGCUGAGUUUGCAAUGGCAGGUGGAACCUUAACUAUUGAGGGAGUUUGCAGAUACCUCAGGAUUCGUGACAAUGCCUUUAAAGAUCCAGGAGAGAUGUUCAGCUACUAGGAACUGCUAGCAAGUAUAGCGCGAAUGGCUCCGAGGUCAGACACUCUACAGCUGAGAGUAGACACUUGUGGUAUGUGGAGUACAGAUAAGCCAGGGGCAGGCCACGGCACGCUCCAUGAAAGCUAGGAGGGAGUGAAGUUUCAGUGACCAUCGCAAGGAAGGAGGCAGACAAGAGUAAGGCACACCUGACUCUUAGGACUAGCAGUCAGAACCAGGAGAAAAGGUUUUAUUGCUAUGCUGGUAGGUAAGAACAGAUUUUACUUACAUCCAUAUAGCUCUCUAAAAUCCAGCUUUCUCUUAUAUUUUCUUUAAUAUAUUGAGCCAAAACUAGUCCAGUUAAGCUGAACUUGGUUUUUCUGGAAAUGAAUUGCUUAAGUUGACACCCUACUCUUGGCGGCUCCCAACUGAAGGAAGUCAGCACUUUAAUUACUUCUACAGUGAUACAUUUUUACCCUUUAAUUUCUAUAUUUCCUAUCUUUUGACCUAUUAAAACAAUGGCUCAAAGUAAUAUAUUAGAAUCUUCCCCAGAAUGCUGGUGGGAGGGUGGGCGGACCAUUAGUGGGGGGUGGGAGGGCUUAGCCUGAGAUGGACCUUGUCUCUGAGAAAAGCUAGUUCUUAAAGGCUGUUUACUUUUCUAGGGAGGAGUGUGCUACCACAGGCUUAGCAACUCUUAAAACAAAAUUCCAGUUCAAGCUCAUGGCUAAAAGGACCAUCCUUAUGAGGACCUUUAUCUGAGCCACUGUGCACUUCAUUUUCACUGCCAUGCAGUAGUCAUUAGCUGCUGCGCAGCUUGAAUUAAUCAUUCAGUUUUGUGAAUGGACUUUUUAAAAAUAAAAUGCAUUUAACUUGG